rnacentral:rRNA from 1 species
AGAUAGAAACCACCUGGCUCACACCGGUCUAAACUCAGAUCAUGUAAAAUUUUAAAGGUCGAACAGACCUAAGAACUCAGCUUCUUCACCAAGUCUAAAUUUUAAUCCAACAUCGAGGUCGCAAACUUUUUAAUCGAUAAGAACUCUAUAAAAAAUUACGCUGUUAUCCCUAAGGUAAUUUAAUCUUAUAAUCUUUAAUCAAGGAUCAAAAACUCACACAUCAGUGUUAAUCUUUCAAAAAAAGUUAAACAAAUUUUUCUAUCACCCCAAUAAAAUAAAUUAUCCAAUAAAUAGUUUCCUAGCCCAAAAACCAAAUCACUAAAUAAAAUAUAAAACUCUACAGGGUCUUCUCGUCUUCUAUUAUUAUUUAAGCUUUUUAACUUAAAAAUAAAAUUCUAUGAAACUUCUAUAGAGACAGAAAUCUUUUCAUCAAACCCUUCAUACGAGUUUCCAUUUAAGAAACUAAUGAUUAUGCUACCUUUGUACAGUCAAAAUACCGCAGCCAUUUAGAUCCUCCAUUGGGCAGGCCAGACCUGAAAUUAUAAUCAACAAGCC